GGAUGGCACAAGAUACCCCCUAGCUCCCCUGUGGCUCUGGAGUCAGGAGAUCCACGUGACCUCCAUCUGCUCCAACUCAACGGAGAGAAGAAGCAACUGGGAGGCGUGGUUGAGGAGAAAGACCAGAGCCUGUCUGCGAAGAGGCAUCCUAAGAGCCAGCAGACCCACGUGAACCUUUGAAUUCUCAAGAAAUAAACUUCCGCUGUGUUAAGCCACGGA